CUGGUUAGCCUUCCCGUUGUUAUCUACCAGCCGUACAAGGAAGUCAGUGGCUGAAACAGCAAAGAUAAAUUACAUGGUUUCCAAAAGCAGUUUUCUACUUACGUUGUGAUGGUAAAUGUGCUACAGCAGCUGAUGGGGAAACUGUAAGUAAGAAACAAAGUGUUACUAGUACAUUAGGGCAUUUGGACAGUACCUGAACAAGAGGCGUUGGAGAAAGAGAUGUCGUCUAUAGCGAUGUCGCCGGUGUAACUAGACCCAACGAUCGCCUCUAGGACCACCU